GGGGAAUAUUGCACAAUGGGGGAAACCCUGAUGCAGCGACGCCGCGUGGAGGAAGAAGGUCUUCGGAUUGUAAACUCCUGUUGUUGAGGAAGAUAAUGACGGUACUCAACAAGGAAGUGACGGCUAACUACGUGCCAGCAGCCGCGGUAAAACGUAGGUCACAAGCGUUGUCCGGAAUUACUGGGUGUAAAGGGAGCGCAGGCGGGCGAUCAAGUUGGAAGUGAAAUCCAUGGGCUCAACCCAUGAACUGCUUUCAAAACUGAUUGUCUUGAGUAGUGCAGAGGUAGGCGGAAUUCCCGGUGUAGCGGUGGAAUGCGUAGAUAUCGGGAGGAACACCAGUGGCGAAGGCGGCCUACUGGGCACCAACUGACGCUGAGGCUCGAAAGUGUGGGUAGCAAACAGGAUUAGAUACCCUGGUAGUCCACACCGUAAACGAUGAUUACUAGGUGUUGGAGGAUUGACCCCUUCAGUGCCGCAGUUAACACAAUAAGUAAUCCACCUGGGGAGUACGACCGCAAGGUUGAAACUCAAAGGAAUUGACGGGGGCCCGCACAAGCAGUGGAGUAUGUGGUUUAAUUCGACGCAACGCGAAGAACCUUACCAAGUCUUGACAUCCCUUGACGAUGCUGGAAACAGUAUUUCUCUUCGGAGCAAGGAGACAGGUGGUGCAUGGUUGUCGUCAGCUCGUGUCGUGAGAUGUUGGGUUAAGUCCCGCAACGAGCGCAACCCUUAUGGUCAGUUACUACGCAAGAGGACUCUGGCCAGACUGCCGUUGACAAAACGGAGGAAGGUGGGGAUGACGUCAAAUCAUCAUGCCCCUUAUGAUCUGGGCUACACACGUGCUACAAUGGCGUAAACAAAGGGAGGCAAAGCCGCGAGGUGGAGCAAAUCCCAAAAAUAACGUCUCAGUUCGGACUGCAGUCUGCAACUCGACUGCACGAAGCUGGAAUCGCUAGUAAUCGCGAAUCAGAAUGUCGCGGUGAAUACGUUCCCG
rnacentral:rRNA from 1 species